GCCACUUCCCCAGGCCAAGAUCCUGCCUACCUCCCGACUUUGUCCACAAACCCAACGCCUCCCUCACACUGGCCAGUUGAGGCCCAACUUGGCCUCUAGCAGAUGUCUCUGGACUUAGCUAUCGCCUUGUACUGGCCUUGAGUCUGGGCCCAGGCCACAGGCCCCAACUUUGCCCCCGGCAGCCUUUUUUAUUUUUUUGAAAUGCAGUUUUGCUCUUCUUACCCAGCCACGAGUGCAAUGGUGUGAUCUCGGCUCACCUCAACGUCCGCCUCCUGGGUUCAGGCAAUACUCCUGCCUCAACCUCCUGAGUAGCUGGGAUUACAGGCAUGCGCCACCAUGCCCAGCUAAUUUUUUGUGUUUUUUUUUUUUUCUUCCUCGCACCGGCUUUUCUUAGCCCAGCUUGCCUCUCAUAAACUCUCUGUUCAGCUCCUGCAUCCCAGUGGCCUGUCCAGGCCCGAAGCUUCCUCUCCGGGCCUGGCCUCUCCAGGCCUGGCUCCUUCCAGCGCUAAACCCCUCCAGGUUGAGCGUCCGCCUCUCAGUGGACCCCCGAGACCCAGCUUGUGGCCUCAUCGUGGGCUCCGCUCAGACCAGCUCCUGCCUCUGUGGCAGCCUGUCUCCACAGGCCCAGCUCCUGGCAUCCUGGUGGCCUCCUUGGGCCAAACCGGUGCUCCAGACUGCCCUCUUAGACCCAGCAUUGGCCUGGUGGCGUCCUCUCGUGCCGCAGAAUGUCUUCAGGUAGGCCUCUCGGGGCCCAGCGCCUCCUCUCGGCAGCAUCUACAGGCCCAACUUCUGAAUUUGCCUCACAGCAACCUCUAUGGACCCGGCUCCUGCCCAGCUCCCGACGGCCUUUGUAGGCCCAAACCCUCAGACCAUCGACUCAGGCUCUCCAGGACUACCCGGCUCAUGCCUCACGCUGGCCUCUCCGGACUCACCUGCCCACCCAGGGUGCCUAGAGGCCCCAGAUGUCCCAGAGUUGGCUUCUCCAGGCCCGGCUCCAGACUCCUCCUAUUGGCCUCUGCAGGUUCAAGCAUUGGGUUCUCAAUUCAGCCUCUCCAGGGCCAGCUUCAGUCCUCCUGGCGUCUCCUUUUUAUGGGUGCAAAACGUCAUCACGUGGGCCCUUCUAGGGCCGGCUCGUGCCUCCCAAAGGCCCCCUGGGCUUACCUUCUGCCUCCCAUCAGCCUCUUCUGGAUGCCUA
rnacentral:lncRNA from 13 species